AUCCCGACAUCUCCAGAGCCCCCGGCGGCUGCCGGGCACCCGCAGCCCGCCCCAGGCUUGGCGUCCUCCUCUCCAGGUGCCUGAGCGCUGCUGUUUGGAGGGCAGAGAGCCUGGUCUCGUCGCAGAAACACCGCACCUGCUUGGAAUAUGGAGGUUGUCUGGAGAAGAAGGUGGUACCUUCAGCUGGGCUGUGUGUUGCUGCUGAAUCUAGUUUAUGCCAAUCUAGACUAUCCAAAGGAGAUCCCCGCGAGCCUGGGCCAGAUUGACCACCAGUGCUGGGAGGUGUCGUCCCAGGGGCUGGUGGAAAUGAAGAAACUCAAGGUGGCAGAUUCCGUCGUCACUCUCUGGGACUUCAUGAUGUUCCUGAAGGAAUCGCCCAAGCCCAAGCACAACGAGCUCUUCAAUGAUUUAGCCCAGAACUUCUGGGAUAUGUACGUGGACUGUGUGCUCUCCAGAUCACAUGGGAUGGGCAGAAGGCAAUUAAUAUCUCCCAAGUAUUUUGUGGCAUACUCYUAGAGAACUUCAGAAGGUUCCUGUAAUACAUGAUGUCUGUACUGUACAUUAAACAGAGGCACUGCUCCAUCCUUGUCUUCAGUUGCUGAGAUAAUUCAGUGUUAACCACCUAUAGUUUUUGGUCUCUGCUUGUCAAAUGUGUUUGCAUUUUUCCAUGGUAGCUAUUUUCACGAUAGCUGAAUCAAAAGCAGUUAAGGUUAUUAAAUUUCUCUAUUUAAGAAAGUGUAAGCAAAAUGUAGGUAUGCAUGUGGGAGUGUGUGUC